rnacentral:lncRNA from 1 species
CCCCCUCAAUCCUUCCCCCUCAAUCCUUCCCCCUCAAUCCUUCCCCCUCAACCCUUCCCUCAAUCCUUCCCUCAAUCCUUCCCUCAAUCCUUCCCUCAAUCCUUCCCUCAAUUCUUCCCUCAAUUCUUCCCUCAAUCCUUCCCUCAAUCCUUCCCUCACCCCGCAAAUCCACAGCCCUCGCAUCCAAACGGCAACAGUAGCUUCCUCACCCUCCUCACAAAUGACAGCGAGAAGCAAGCCCUCUUGACGAAAAUAGCUUUUCCUCACCAAGCAAGUUGAAUCCACGGGAAUAGGAAGCUUCUAGAAACCCGUUCAAGCUCGGCUG